rnacentral:rRNA from 1 species
AACGCUGGCGGCGUGCCUAAUACAUGCAAGUCGAGCGAACUGAUUAGAAGCUUGCUUCUAUGACGUUAGCGGCGGACGGGUGAGUAACACGUGGGCAACCUGCCUGUAAGACUGGGAUAACUUCGGGAAACCGAAGCUAAUACCGGAUAGGAUCUUCUCCUUCAUGGGAGAUGAUUGAAAGAUGGUUUCGGCUAUCACUUACAGAUGGGCCCGCGGUGCAUUAGCUAGUUGGUGAGGUAACGGCUCACCAAGGCAACGAUGCAUAGCCGACCUGAGAGGGUGAUCGGCCACACUGGGACUGAGACACGGCCCAGACUCCUACGGGAGGCAGCAGUAGGGAAUCUUCCGCAAUGGACGAAAGUCUGACGGAGCAACGCCGCGUGAGUGAUGAAGGCUUUCGGGUCGUAAAACUCUGUUGUUAGGGAAGAACAAGUACGAGAGUAACUGCUCGUACCUUGACGGUACCUAACCAGAAAGCCACGGCUAACUACGUGCCAGCAGCCGCGGUAAUACGUAGGUGGCAAGCGUUAUCCGGAAUUAUUGGGCGUAAAGCGCGCGCAGGCGGUUUCUUAAGUCUGAUGUGAAAGCCCACGGCUCAACCGUGGAGGGUCAUUGGAAACUGGGGAACUUGAGUGCAGAAGAGAAAAGCGGAAUUCCACGUGUAGCGGUGAAAUGCGUAGAGAUGUGGAGGAACACCAGUGGCGAAGGCGGCUUUUUGGUCUGUAACUGACGCUGAGGCGCGAA